rnacentral:rRNA from 1 species
GCUAGCUACAGGCUUAACACAUGCAAGUCGAGGGGCAGCAUUUCAGUUUGCUUGCAAACUGGAGAUGGCGACCGGCGCACGGGUGAGUAACACGUAUCCAACCUGCCGAUAACUCGGGGAUAGCCUUUCGAAAGAAAGAUUAAUACCCGAUGGUAUAAUCAGACCGCAUGGUCUUAUUAUUAAAGAAUUUCGGUUAUCGAUGGGGAUGCGUUCCAUUAGGCAGUUGGUGAGGUAACGGCUCACCAAACCUUCGAUGGAUAGGGGUUCUGAGAGGAAGGUCCCCCACAUUGGAACUGAGACACGGUCCAAACUCCUACGGGAGGCAGCAGUGAGGAAUAUUGGUCAAUGGGCGCAGGCCUGAACCAGCCAAGUAGCGUGAAGGAUGACUGCCCUAUGGGUUGUAAACUUCUUUUAUAUGGGAAUAAAGUUUUCCACGUGUGGAAUUUUGUAUGUACCAUAUGAAUAAGGAUCGGCUAACUCCGUGCCAGCAGCCGCGGUAAUACGGAGGAUCCGAGCGUUAUCCGGAUUUAUUGGGUUUAAAGGGAGCGUAGGUGGACAGUUAAGUCAGUUGUGAAAGUUUGCGGCUCAACCGUAAAAUUGCAGUUGAUACUGGCUGUCUUGAGUACAGUAGAGGUGGGCGGAAUUCGUGGUGUAGCGGUGAAAUGCUUAGAUAUCACGAAGAACUCCGAUUGCGAAGGCAGCUCACUGGACUGCAACUGACACUGAUGCUCGAAAGUGUGGGUAUCAAACAGGAUUAGAUACCCUGGUAGUCCACACAGUAAACGAUGAAUACUCGCUGUUUGCGAUAUACAGUAAGCGGCCAAGCGAAAGCAUUAAGUAUUCCACCUGGGGAGUACGCCGGCAACGGUGAAACUCAAAGGAAUUGACGGGGGCCCGCACAAGCGGAGGAACAUGUGGUUUAAUUCGAUGAUACGCGAGGAACCUUACCCGGGCUUAAAUUGCAUUUGAAUAAUCUGGAAACAGGUUAGCCGCAAGGCAAAUGUGAAGGUGCUGCAUGGUUGUCGUCAGCUCGUGCCGUGAGGUGUCGGCUUAAGUGCCAUAACGAGCGCAACCCUUAUCUUUAGUUACUAACAGGUCAUGCUGAGGACUCUAGAGAGACUGCCGUCGUAAGAUGUGAGGAAGGUGGGGAUGACGUCAAAUCAGCACGGCCCUUACGUCCGGGGCUACACACGUGUUACAAUGGGGGGUACAGAAGGUAGCUACCUGGUGACAGGAUGCUAAUCCCAAAAGCCUCUCUCAGUUCGGAUCGAAGUCUGCAACCCGACUUCGUGAAGCUGGAUUCGCUGGUAAUCGCGCAUCAGCCAUGGCGCGGUGAAUACGUUCCCGGGCCUUGUACACACCGCCCGUCAAGCCAUGAAAGCCGGGGGUACCUAAAGGACGUAACCGCAAGGAGCGUCCUAGGGUAAAACU